rnacentral:misc_RNA from 1 species
AAAGUCGUAACAAGGUUUCCGUAGGUGAACCUGCGGAAGGAUCAUUAACAUGUUGGAGUGGCCUUCGGGCCCGUCCUCCAUAAACCCACCUCUGUGUACCUUUUCCUGUUGCUUCCGCGGGACAUCGGGGUUCGCCCCGGACGUCGGCGAGGAGGCUCUCCUUCUGGGAGGGUCAUUCCGAGCCCGGCGGAGCGCCCGCGGGAGGUUAAUCAGAAACCCAUGUGCAAUAAUAUAGCUUCUGUCUGAAUGAAUAAUAAUAAAAGUUAAAACUUUCAACAACGGAUCUCUUGGUUCUC